AUAAAUUUUCUAUUUUCUCCUCUCCACUCUUACCUACUAGAAUCGUCGAUUUCCCCUUCUGCCUCCGCCGAACGGGAUCGCCAUCAGCCUCGGAGACGAUCAAGCGCCAUCGUGUGGGAGAUUCCUCUGAGGGCAUCACGGUCGAUCGGGCAGAGGUCCUCGUCGGCCGACAGCACUGGCGAGGCCUUCUCGCGUCCGGCAAUAGCAACGAAGGUGUAAGAAGAGAAAAGGAAAGUACCUCCUCAUAUGAAAUAGGAGAUCUGGGAGAUACAGGAAAGGAAAAGUUAUAGCAAAGGAAGGCGACAAGGAGGUGUUUGAUGAUGUGUGAUGCCUUGACUAUGAAGAGAUCUGGGGAUUUGCCAAGAAUUUAUUAAGACUGUUUUCGUCAAAUUGUUAAAAGAAUUUAGAACUUGUACAUGCUAUUCUAUGGAUCAUUUUAUCGUGCUUUGCGAGAGUUGAUUAUUUUGGUUAUA